AUUGAACGCUGGCGGCAUGCCUUACACAUGCAAGUCGAACGGCAGCACGGGUGCUUGCACCUGGUGGCGAGUGGCGAACGGGUGAGUAAUACAUCGGAACGUACCUUAUCGGGGGGGAUAACGCAGCGAAAGUUGCGCUAAUACCGCAUCCGCCCUGAGGGGGUAAGCGGGGGACCGUAAGGCCUCGCGCGAUUAGCGCCGCCGAUGUCUGAUUAGCUUGUUGGUGAGGUAAAAGCCCACCAAGGCGAUGAUCAGUAGCUGGUCUGAGAGGACGAUCAGCCACACUGGGACUGAGACACGGCCCAGACUCCUACGGGAGGCAGCAGUGGGGAAUUUUGGACAAUGGGGGCAACCCUGAUCCAGCAAUGCCGCGUGAGUGAAGAAGGCCUUCGGGUUGUAAAGCUCUUUUGUCAGGGAAGAAACAGCAGCUCUAACACAGUCUGCGAAUGACGGUACCUGAAGAAUAAGCACCGGCUAACUACGUGCCAGCCGCCGCCGUAA
rnacentral:rRNA from 1 species